CUGGUGUCAGCCGCCGCGGUAAUACCAGCACCCCGAGUUGUCGGGACGAUUAUUGGGCCUAAAGCAUCCGUAGCCUGUUCUACAAGUCCUCCGUUAAAUCCACCUGCUCAACAGAUGGGCUGCGGGGGAUACUACAGAGCUAGGAGGCGGGAGAGGCAAACGGUACUCAGUGGGUAGGGGUAAAAUCCAUUGAUCUACUGAAGACCACCAGUGGCGAAGGCGGUUUGCCAGAACGCGCUCGACGGUGAGGGAUGAAAGCUGGGGGAGCAAACCGGAUUAGAUACCCGGGUAGUCCCAGCUGUAAACGAUGCAGACUCGGUGAUGGGUUGGCUUCGAGCCAACCCAGUGCCGCAGGGAAGCCGUUAAGUCUGCCGCCUGGGGAGUACGGUCGCAAGACUGAAACUUAAAG
rnacentral:rRNA from 2 species